AAUAAGUACAGCCAUGAGUUUCCGCACUUAACUUUGAUCGUUCGUCUUAUUUGAAAUUUUUUUAUAAUUAGCAUUUUUAUUGUUAUGAGAUGAUAAAACAUGAAUAGUACUUUACUCGUGACUUAUGUUUUUGAUUUUUUUUUUAAAAAAAAUUCAAAUAAGACGAACAGUCAAAGUUAGACGCAGAAAACCAUGAUUGCACUUAUU
rfam:Oryza sativa (indica cultivar-group) chromosome 6, whole genome shotgun sequence.